GCUCAACCGAAGAAGUGCAUCGGAAACUGGGAAACUUGAGUGCAGAAGAGGACAGUGGAACUCCAUGUGUAGCGGUGAAAUGCGUAGAUAUAUGGAAGAACACCAGUGGCGAAGGCGGCUGUCUGGUCUGUAACUGACGCUGAGGCUCGAAAGUAUGGGUAGCAAACAGGAUUAGAUACCCUGGUAGUCCAUACCGUAAACGAUGAAUGCUAAGUGUUGGAGGGUUUCCGCCCUUCAGUGCUGCAGCUAACGCAUUAAGCAUUCCGCCUGGGGAGUACGGCCGCAAGGCUGAAACUCAAAGGAAUUGACGGGGGCCCGCACAAGCGGUGGAGCAUGUGGUUUAAUUCGAAGCUACGCGAAGAACCUUACCAGGUCUUGACAUACUAUGCAAAUCUAAGAGAUUAGACGUUCCCUUCGGGGACAUGGAUACAGGUGGUGCAUGGUUGUCGUCAGCUCGUGUCGUGAGAUGUUGGGUUAAGUCCCGCAACGAGCGCAACCCUUAUUAUCAGUUGCCAGCAUUAAGUUGGGCACUCUGGUGAGACUGCCGGUGACAAACCGGAGGAAGGUGGGGAUGACGUCAAAUCAUCAUGCCCCUUAUGACCUGGGCUACACACGUGCUACAAUGGAUGGUACAACGAGUUGCGAACUCGCGAGAGUAAGCUAAUCUCUUAAAGCCAUUCUCAGUUCGGAUUGUAGGCUGCAACUCGCCUACAUGAAGUCGGAAUCGCUAGUAAUCGCGGAUCAGCAUGCCGCGGUGAAUACGUUCCCGGGCCUUGUACACACCGCCCGUCACACCAUGAGAGUUUGUAACACCCAAAGUCGGUGGGGUAAC
rnacentral:rRNA from 2 species